UAAGGAAUAUUGGUCAAUGGACGCAAGUCUGAACCAGCCAUGCCGCGUGAAGGAUUAAGGCCCUCUGGGUUGUAAACUUCUUUUAUAGGGGAAGAAAUGUGACGGUUCUCCGUCACUUGACGGUACCCUGGGAAUAAGCACCGGCUAACUCCGUGCCAGCAGCCGCGGUAAUACGGAGGGUGCAAGCGUUAUCCGGAUUCACUGGGUUUAAAGGGUGCGUAGGUGGGCAGAUAAGUCAGUGGUGAAAUCUUCCGGCUUAACCGGGAAGCUGCCGUUGAUACUAUUUGUCUUGAAUAUUGCGGAGGUAAGCGGAAUAUGUCAUGUAGCGGUGAAAUGCUUAGAUAUGACAUAGAACACCCAUUACGAAGGCAGCUUACUACACAAUCAUUGACACUGAGGCACGAAAGCGUGGGUAGCGAACA
rnacentral:rRNA from 1 species